GGAUGUGAGGGCGAUCUGGCUGUGAUAUCUGUCACCCCAUUGAUCGCCAGCGUUGAUUUGGCUGAUCUGGCUGGCUAGGUGGGUGCCCCCUUCCUCCCUCACAGCUCCAUGUGCGCCCCUCCCGAAGCUGCGCACUUGGUGGAAGAGGAUGACCUUCCCUGCUAGAGGAGGACCAUUCUUCGGUCAAGGAUAUACGAGUAGCUGUGCUCCCCUGCUAGAACCUCCAAACAAGCUCUCAAGACUAAAUGGCAGACGGUCCUUAAAUGCCAGUGGCCCUAGGCUCUCUCCUG
rnacentral:snRNA from 1 species